GCGAAAGGGUGAGGUUGGAUUGCAGAUGCAGCACCAUAUUUCAGGGGUGAAAGACACAAGGCGAGGAAGUCCCGACCCACAGAAUUGCUGGCACCUUUUCAAUUUAAGAAUUCGCAUUCUCUCACGUAGAACCGGGCAAGAUGCAAAUUCAUUUACAAGGAUAAUACCAGAACUGAAGGUCAUUACUACCAGGAAACAGCCUCCAGCUCUCGAUAGAGGACAAAGCUGUGUAGAGCCCGAAUAAAGGUUUCCUUUUACUUUGUGGGAAAAUCCAAAAAAAAACCAUAAAUAUGGUCACUCAGUAAUCAAGGUGAAAAUUCAGAAGUAGCUUCUUUAACUAGGGAGUGGUUAGAACGUGAAGCUUACUAGCAUCGAGUAGUUAAGGGAGAACGGAAUGACAUAUAUUGAUGGGGUUUGGGUGCUUGAAGUGUAAAUGCCAGUUAAAGGUCAGCUGGAUCAAGUGGCCAGUCUUUGUGUUGUAAAUUCUUUGUAACACAUUUAUCUUAAAUUAAGGCAGUAAAUUCAUUCCACUUGUUUUCUCUGGGGGUUUGAACAUGUUACCAAUAUUCACAUAUGUUAACCUGUGCCACCCUCACGUCCUCACUUUAAGUCAGAACAUGGAAUUCUCACUCCCAUUCCAGAGUCUUAUGCAGUUCAUCUAGGCUGGCACUUAUGUGAAGAAUUGAAGGAAUGCUCCAGUGUCUUUUAUUAGACUGCUUAACUCAUGUAAAUAACGUAACCAGCAGAAAUUUCCUCCAAUCAAACAUCAAGGAGAGUGAAGCCACUAUGUGAAGCCAUUGGGACUACACAAUGAGAUGUUGUUCCUUGACUCCCAAUGCCCAGACUGGAUCCAUCGUUGGGAAUUGAGAAGCCAGUGGACCACUGGAAAGGAAGGAGCUGUGCUUCCCUCUGCAGGUGAAAACAUCUCAAACCAGAGCAGGACAAUUAAAAUGUUUGUAGCACAGAACAAUUCGCUGAUGAAUUGGAAGGAACACAACGUCAAAUCUUGGAAGCGUCUCCCUUUUCACCAGAAAAAAGAAAAAUAAACUAAUGAAAAAAAAGUCAUGGUUGUUUUUCGAACUAGAACAUGUUGAUUUUUUUUCUUGGCCCGUAACAGAAUUUGCCAUGUCAGUAAUUGUAAUAAAUACUUUAUGAUCUACAGCCAAUAGGGUUACCAUGGUAUUUUGGAUCAACUAAACAACUCUAAGUUUAGAUUUAUUUUUCAAUUUCACCUUCGCUUGUUGUUCAGAAUCCCAUUUUGCAAAAGCUGGCUGAACAAUCCAGUUUUCCUUUUUUUUUAAACUGAUCCCUGCUAUCUUCAUCCAGAUAUCUAUAAUUCACAACUGUGCUUUCAAGAAAAUAGAAGCUAACCAAAAUAUGCUUUGACAUGAACAGGAAAUUCAUUAAUGCACACUGUAUUUUAGCCACUAAUAUUUAUCGCUUCUCAUUAUAAAAUGAGAUUUCCUGGUUAUUAUAACAUUGGCUGUUUGUGGGACAUGCCUGUGCGCAAAUUGUGCAAUGCUUCUUACAUUGCAACAGUGACUACACAUCAAAACAUUGAUCACAAAGCACUUUGGUCAUGGAAGGUACUAUAUGAAUGCAAACUGUCCUGCACUACAUUUUUCUUCUUAAUUUCAUUUAUUUUAAGCAAGGCAUUUUAACAGAAUGCAUUGUCUGCCAAGAGGAGUAAUUGAUCUGAACAACUUCGACCUGUACACUGGUGUGAUUAUCCAAAGAGACAGUGUAGGCUGAACAGAGGAAACAAUGUAACAAUUCUUUUUCCUUAUUCUUUCAAUAAUCCACCCUUGAAUUGGAAUACUUCCCUGUCAGCCUGCCGCUCCACCUUGGAGCCAGUUCAAUAUUUGAUCAUAUUUAUCUAAGCAAGACAAAACAAGUUUGAUUGAUGGGAGACUUUCAGUUCACUAGUGAACCAAUGUAUUGUCUUCAAUUCUCAUGGUUACAAUUUUAGUUUAGUUACUCCUCAAAAUAAUUUCUAUUCAUGCAUUAUGUGCAUCUCUUUGAUUGAUAACAAAUGUCUUUAGAUUCCUGUAUUAUACCUUGAGCAGUUGAAGGCAAAAUGCCUUUUCCAUUUUAUCAUUAUUUGCAAAGCUCUAAUGUGGUCUGCAUCUAUUUUAAUAAUUUGUUAUUGGGAUUCUGUAUCAUGCUUUA